rnacentral:rRNA from 1 species
UACGAGAGGCCCAAACGUUAUUCGGAAUUACUGGGCUUAAAGAGUUCGUAGGCGGCAUGUCAAGUAGGGUGUGAAAGCCCUCGGCUCAACCGAGGAAUUGCGCUCUAAACUGUCGUGCUUGAGGAACCUAGAGGUGAGCAGAACAGAUGGUGGAGCGGUGAAAUGCGUUGAUAUCAUCUGGAAUACCGGAGGCGAAGGCGGCUCACUGGGAGUUUUCUGACGCUGAGGAACGAAAGCCAGGGUAGCGAACGGG